rnacentral:misc_RNA from 1 species
GUGAAUCAUCGAAUCUUUGAACGCAAAUUGCACUCUCUGGUAUUCCAAGAGAGUAUGCCUGUUUGAGGGUUAAUUUAAUUAAAAUCGAUUGUGUUGCUUUUUGUGGUAACGCUUUCGGAAUUGAAUCUUUCUUAACUACCGGUUAAGUGGUUUAAAAUUUAUUUGGGCGAUUUUUUAACGCGUACUUAAGACACGUUUUUUAUACGUUUUGAAACGCCGAACUUUAUUAGUUAUGACCUUUUUCGGUUACAUGUCUAUAACAUCAUUUCAUUUAUUAACCUCAAAUCAGGUAAGAUUACC